GGUUACCGAGCUUUCACUCCCAACCCCUGUGACAUACCUAUACGUUGCCUCGGCGGAUCAGCCCGCGCCCUGUAAAAAGGGACGGCCCGCCCGAGGACCCUAAACUCUGUUUUUAGUGGAACUUCUGAGUAAAACAAACAAAUAAAUCAAAACUUUCAACAACGGAUCUCUUGGUUCUGGCAUCGAUGAAGAACGCAGCAAAAUGCGAUAAGUAAUGUGAAUUGCAGAAUUCAGUGAAUCAUCGAAUCUUUGAACGCACAUUGCGCCCGCCAGUAUUCUGGCGGGCAUGCCUGUUCGAGCGUCAUUUCAACCCUCAAGCUCAGCUUGGUGUUGGGACUCGCGGUAACCCGCGUUCCCCAAAUCGAUUGGCGGUCACGUCGAGCUUCCAUAGCGUAGUAAUCAUACACCUCGUUACUGGUAAUCGUCGCGGCCACGCCGUAAAACCCCAACUUCUGAAUGUUGACCUCGGAUCAGGUAGGAAUACCCGCUGAACUUAAGCAUAUCAAAAG
rnacentral:rRNA from 1 species